GUGGGUGUUAUGCUGAGAAAGGCCUAUGCAAGGAAAGAUAGGAGAGAGACAAUCAGCAGUGACACUCCAAUGUUUGAAAGAGAGUAUACCUACAUGAUUAAUACUACUGCUGUGCAAACUCUUCACACAACCACACUAGUGAUAAUUCCUGGUGUCUACCUGCAGUCGCUAAAAUAUUUUUACUUUUCCCAAGGUAGCUGCAAUGGAAGCAGAGGGAUUUGCAAACAGCAGUGUGUGAGAUGAGGAGGCUGUGCUGACAGCUACGGGUGAGGUUCUGCUCUUUCUGUGUGAUCCGAAGGUGCUUAUCUGUCAGGGUGGCCAUGGAUACUGUCAACUGCAAGGUGUGAAACUUCUACAGUCUAUAGCUGCAGAGAAGCACUGGACAUCGUAUGCCAGAUGAAUACUGAGCCACCAUAAUUCGGAGCAUGACCAGUGUCAUUAUUAUAUCCUGAAGUGUGAAGGGGAGAAGAAAAAGUAGAUCCUCUGUGUAAACUUAAUGAAAUAGCUUUUGGUUAGGGGCAUGCUAGGAUGACGUGUAGGAACUAGCUUUUUCCAAAUCAAGUUGUCAAGGAUGAGCAAGCGGGGACUACAUGGUGCUGUCGCUUAACCUGAUAUAACAUGACUGCAGUACUGACAAAUUCACUGUUGUAUGGACUUUCUCUUGGUUUUGGCUGCUUAGUUUUCACUGUACAGCCUACUCAUUUGUACAAAGGCAUUUUGCUUCAGGCAUAAAUCUGAAGCUUUGUGACUCUGUUCAGAUCUUGUAGUAACACUGGUUGUUCUUUAAAAGAUCAUCUGGAUUAUUUAGGAUCAUUUGAGGAAAAAGUUCUGUCACUUCCAGAAGACAUGGCUCACAGGAAAUCAAUUCAGGCAGUCAUUUAGAUCUUCGCAUAUUUACGGAAGACAACUAAACUGAGAUGCUCCUAAACUUUCUGUGGCAGAACUGUUGCUUCUCUCAGUGCUGUUUGCUAGGUGUCAGAUAUCAGAUAUUUUUUUAACGUUUGUUCGCAGACCAUGAGAGAGGUUUUACAUUGUUUCUUGAUGCUGUGAUGUGGUUAGUUGAUUCCUGAGAUAUAAAAUGUUAUGCAUUAGUUUGUUCUCUUUUAGUAAAUGUUGGUGUAUCAAUUCAUGUGAUAACAUAGCUGAAUGUAAAUCACUAAUCCUUUGUUGAUCAUCUAGUUCAAAUAAUCUGAACUUCAUCUCUUUUUGUCAUGAGGGUUAGAGUCCUGGAAUUUUAAAUACUAAGUGGUAUAGUUUAAAAAAUUGAGCACAUCAGCUGCCACUAAAAUAACCUGACUUCGUAUGUUAAAGCUUGGAAAAAAAAAAAA